UACGUAGGGUGCGAGCGUUAAUCGGAAUUACUGGGCGUAAAGCGUGCGCAGGCGGUUUUGUAAGCCAGAUGUGAAAUCCCCGGGCUUAACCUGGGAAUGGCAUUUGGGACUGCAAGGCUUGAGUGCGGCAGAGGAGACUGGAAUUCCUGGUGUAGCAGUGAAAUGCAUAGAUAUCGUCAAGAACACCGAUAGCGAAGGCAGCUUACUGGGCUGUAACUGACGCUGAGGCACGAAAGUGUGGGGAUCAAACAGG
rnacentral:rRNA from 1 species